UACGUAGGGUGCGAGCGUUGUCCGGAAUUAUUGGGCGUAAAGAGCUCGUAGGCGGUUUGUCGCGUCGACUGUGAAAACCCGAGGCUUAACCUCGGGCCUGCAGUCGAUACGGGCAGACUAGAGUUCGGUAGGGGAGACUGGAAUUCCUGGUGUAGCGGUGAAAUGCGCAGAUAUCAGGAGGAACACCGGUGGCGAAAGCGGCUCUCUGGAACGGUACUGACGCUGAGACGCGAAAGCGUGGGGAGCAAACAGG
rnacentral:rRNA from 1 species